UUAAAAUGAGAGUUUGAUCCUGGCUCAGGACGAACGCUGGCGGCGUGCCUAAUACAUGCAAGUCGAGCGAGCGGAACUAACAGAUUUACUUCGGUAAUGACGUUAGGAAAGCGAGCGGCGGAUGGGUGAGUAACACGUGGGGAACCUGCCCCAUAGUCUGGGAUACCACUUGGAAACAGGUGCUAAUACCGGAUAAGAAAGCAGAUCGCAUGAUCAGCUUUUAAAAGGCGGCGU
rnacentral:rRNA from 1 species